rnacentral:rRNA from 1 species
AGUCGUUGGGCAGCUUGCUUGGAGCAAGUACGCAAUGCACCUCCAAGUGGAACCAUGGAGUCCGACUAUGACAAAAUUGCCCAACAAAGAUACAAAGACAUGGAAGCUUCGGAGGGCAGAUUCUUCAAACUAGAGGAUUGUUGGGACUUGCUCAAGAAUUGCGAGAAGUGGAAGUUGAUUGAGAAAGAAUUCCCACCGAUGAGAGGUUCACUUACAAAUAUGGAUGAAGAUGAGGAUGAUGAUGACCCAAGGAACUUGAACAAGCCCGAUGGCGACAAGAAGACUAAGGAGAAAAUGAAGAGAGAGCACGAAGCGUCGAGCUUCAGGAAGAAGAUUGAUGCCAUGGUGCAAUCAAAUGAGAUGAUGUUAUUGAAGUCGUUGGAGAUCAAGAAAGAGUUGGCCGAGAAGAAGGCACGAGAGAAGCAAGAGAAAUGGCAAUUGCUCAAGGAAGAGGGGCUGCGCAAAGUGGCCAUUGAGGAGAGAAGAGUACGUGUCGCUGAGAAUAAAGCUACGUCCGUGUUGCUCGCCGAAGAGAACAAGAUCAUGACAAUGAACCGCAGUGACAUGGACGACCUCACCAAAGAAUGGCAUGAUAUGGCAAGAAGAGAAAUCUUGAAGAGGAGAAUGGUUGCGUCAGCCAGUGCGUGUUACAGUGCCGGAGCUGGAUUCGGUGCGGGGUUUGGACCAAUGUCGCCGAUGCGUUCAAUGCAUCAGCCAAUGAUUUCGGUGCGGGAGUUGGAACAAGCGUCGGAGGUGGAUUUGGUGGUUCCGAUGAUCUCCAUGAACUCGAUGACGCGGAGUGAAGAUCGACCAAGAUGA